rnacentral:misc_RNA from 1 species
GAUGAAGAACGCAGCGAAAUGCGAUACGUAAUGUGAAUUGCAGAAUCCAGUGAAUCAUCGAAUCUUUGAACGCACAUUGCGCCCGCCAGCAUUCUGGCGGGCAUGCCUGUUCGAGCGUCAUUUCAACCCUCGACCUCCCCUUGGGGAGGUCGGCGUUGGGGACCGGCAGCACACCGCCGGCCCUGAAAUGGAGUGGCGGCCCGUCCGCGGCGACCUCUGCGCAGUAAUACAGCUCGCACCGGGACCCCGACGCGGCCACGCCGUAAAACACCCAACUUCUGAACGUUGACCUCGAAUCAGGUAGGACUACCCGCUGAACUUAAGCAUAUCAAUAAGCGGAGGA